rnacentral:rRNA from 1 species
UACAGAGGUCUCAAGCGUUGUUCGGAUUCAUUGGGCGUAAAGGGUGUGUAGGCGGCGCGGUAAGUCGGGUGUGAAAUCUCGGAGCUUAACUCCGAAACUGCAUUCGAUACUGCCGUGCUUGAGGACUGGAGAGGAGACUGGAAUUUACGGUGUAGCGGUGAAAUGCGUAGAUAUCGUAAGGAAGACCAGUGGCGAAGGCGGGUCUCUGGACAGUUCCUGACGCCGAGGCACGAAGGCCAGGGGAGCAAACGGG